AGUUUUGACGGGGGGGGGGGGUCCUCUCUCUUCGCACUGGCGUCUUCCGCAGCUCCGGCGCUCAAAAGUAGAAAAAGAAGAGGGAAUCUUGGCAGGACGAGGAGCCGGAGAAGGAGCCGAGGAGCGCGGACCGACAGUGUUGUCAAACUGCAGUGAUGAGGAAAUAUGUGCACAGUGCAGCACCGGAGUGUCGCGGAUCUGCCUACCAACGCACACCCAGACGGGGCAACACCAUGAAAGCAGACUCUUCCGCUCGAUGAGCACUGACGUGCGUUAUCUGGAUGAGGCAGUCAGUGGAAGAAGAGACGCCCCGCCGCUCGGGGCCCUCCAAACCUGAGCCCACACAGACCAGACCAAAGCGGAGAGGCUCCGAGCCGGCCUCUCCCCGGAUUGCCUCAGCAGGUACCUGAGAGUGUGCUGGGGGGCUGGCAGCGUGUUAUCACGCCUGCCACGGGGACACCUGCCUCUGAUGCCGCCCUGGUGAUUCUAAUCUACAGGACCCUUUAAUAAAAUGAUGAUAGGCCGCGCGGCCGCCGCUGCUCUGAGUGAUGGAGCAGGAGCAGGCGUCUGUUGGUGAUGUUGACUGUGUGUGCGCAUGUUCACCUCUGAGCCAUUUGGUGGCAACUGGGGGUUCGUCCUCAGCCGUGCACUGCCACGUCUCAGAGCACGGAGGAAGUGUCCAGUGUGUGGGCGACCGGCUUCAGCUCUCCACUGUCUGUGGUCGUCAUCAGCCUGGAUGACCAAUCCAUAAACUCAGCCAGCCUGAGCAGAUCACGUCACAAUUCGCCAAUCUCCUCGUGGCAGAUUUAAUCACAAUUCUGUCUCCAUAUACAGUUCAAGCCAAUUGACAAGGCAAGAGGCAAAUACUUUGAAUUAUUCAAGGGGUACUGUCUUAUUUCAUGAUGUCGUGUCACCUUGCUGAUCGCUUCACUGUGAUCCUGGCGCAGUGUGUGCUUCCCACAACUUUGAAAUCAAAUUAAUGUCAGAGCUCAGCACAUUUAUGGCUGUUGGAUAUUAUAUGCAUGCAUGCUUUUGUGAAUAAACAAAAACAUCAUGUUUAUAAUGACAAACAAAUCAUUUU